UGAACCUGACGCAUCUGGUUCAUCGGCGGCGCAGGACGCACGGCGCAGUCUGCAGCCCGUCUGUCCCCACUGAACCCAGCAGGAUGGCCGCGGACACACACGCACACAGGGGGGGCAACACACACUUCUUCGGUGUCCUGGUGGCAGCUCCUGAAGCCUGUCUUCUAACGCAACAAAUGCGACGACAUUUACCACUUCCCAAUCUGCCGAUAUUACCGCUUUGUCGCUUUUAUUUUGUGCCGUUUGUGUUUUUUUUUUUUUUUUUUUUUUUUUUUUUUUUGCGUCCAGACAAUAGAAGAAGACCAGCCACCGUCUGGGAAAUAUAAAGCCCGCGGACUUGGAGUUGAACACGGCGCAGGGAGAGAGCAUUUCCAACUUGAACUUCAUCUCUUUCGGGCAACAGUGGAAACAAACAGACGAGGAAACUCAAAGCCAAGAAACUGCAAAACAGAGAGGAUAUGUGGACAUACUGUGCAGCUACUGAGGAAUCCAACACAAUGAACGGCAGAGAUUUCGGCGCCUAACCCGGAUAGCCGAUGGCUGCGUGUGUGUGCCAGUUGCCUCAAAGUCUCUGUGGGCUUCACAAUUGGAAGCAACCGUACUUCAUCACACCUCAUUGUUGAGGCAGAGGCGACUGUCGGGUGUAAGUGAUGUACAGGAAGUGCUGUGAUAGGGUAAGUUUCCAGAGGAAUUGUUUGUCUCGCAUCGGUGUUCCUGCAGGACCCACCGUCCACAUAGUGACACGAAGGACGCCUGCAGGAGAUAAACUGUCCUUUGGGGUGAGGUAGUAGGUUGUAUAGUUUUAGGGUCAUUCCCAAGCUGUCAGAUGACUAUACAACUUACUGUCUUUCCUGAAGCGACUGUGAUAGCAGCAUCACCGUCCUCACCAUCGUUUCUACAGAGUCCUCUGUAAAAUAUCUAAAAAAUAUAUCUUCUGUUUUUAUUUUUAGAUGAAUGAAAUUAUAUUUAAACAAAUCUUGUGUUGGUUGGGUUAUGGUAUUAAGAUAAGAGCAGGUUUAAGAGUCUCUUAUAUCAAAUAGGAUUAUUAUGAUUAAAAUAUUCACUUUUAUAUUUUUUGUGAUUAUAUUUGUUCCUACUUACCAGUGUCUUAACUUACAAACCUCAAUGUGAUAAAGUCCUUGCAUCUUCAUUUGUGCAGUGAUCAGGUGAGAACUCUGCGUAAACCCAAGGAUCCAGAUCAUCUUACCGACCCGGGUGACUUAUGAUGUUCGUACAGGGUGAGGUAGUAGGUUGUGUGGUUUCAGGGUUGUGAUUUUACCCCAUCAGGAGCUAACUAUACAACCUACUGCCUUCCCUGGAGGGCAGCAAUACAUCACAGGACCACACUCAUCUUCGCCAGAAAACAAAUCUCGCAUAGUGAAUGUCACAAAGAUGUGCUAUUUGAUUUCAGACAUUUCUUUGUGGUGCCAAAUCACAUUAUUCACUUGAUAUCCGUACUCAUAUUACACAUUUGCAGCUGGGUAUAUUUAGAUAAAGAAAGUACAUGUAGAAUUUUUGACUUUCUUUUAGCAUCAUUCAAGUCUUAACUUUGUAUUGUUUCAUUAAAAAAAUAAAUAAAGGCUAAAAAAAAAGAAGUAA